rnacentral:rRNA from 1 species
AACGAACGCUGGCGGCAUGCCUAACACAUGCAAGUCGAACGAAGGCUUCGGCCUUAGUGGCGCACGGGUGCGUAACGCGUGGGAAUCUGCCCCUCGGUUCGGAAUAACAGUUAGAAAUGACUGCUAAUACCGGAUGAUGACUUCGGUCCAAAGAUUUAUCGCCGAGGGAUGAGCCCGCGUAAGAUUAGGUAGUUGGUGGGGUAAAGGCCUACCAAGCCGACGAUCUUUAGCUGGUCUGAGAGGAUGAUCAGCCACACUGGGACUGAGACACGGCCCAGACUCCUACGGGAGGCAGCAGUGGGGAAUAUUGGACAAUGGGCGAAAGCCUGAUCCAGCAAUGCCGCGUGAGUGAUGAAGGCCUUAGGGUUGUAAAGCUCUUUUACCAGGGAUGAUAAUGACAGUACCUGGAGAAUAAGCUCCGGCUAACUCCGUGCCAGCAGCCGCCGUAAUAC